rnacentral:tRNA from 1 species
GUGCCUGUAGCUUAAUGGAUAGAGCAUUGGAUUGCGGAUCCAAAGGUUGCAAGUUCGAGUCUCGCCAGGCACA